rnacentral:lncRNA from 1 species
GUUCCAAGGAGAUGUCUUUGUUGCCACAGGGAGUUGAUGGUGGCAGUGCUGUUUCAGUGGCUUCCACUAGGAUUUCAGCUGCCUUGGCCAUGCAGUGUGAGCAGGGCCUGCUCGGUCUCGAAAGUUCUAGCCCUAGUUUUGCUCCAGGGAUGCCACGCCUUCCUGUAUGGGAGAACUGGGGCUCCUCGGCUGCACGGCCACCUGGCAUUGUGGAUGCAGGAGAAGCGGAGGGUUCGGGCGUCCACCUGGAGAUAAGGUGAAAGGGAGACGCCUGGGAACAGAAUGGCUGGAGGAGUUCUGUAUUUCACACUGUAUUUUCCAAAAUAGGGACAUCGUUGUACAUUUCCCGAAGCGUAUGAAGAGAAAGAUGAAGCUUGCCCCGUGCUGGUCUAGUCUGUGUCUCAUGCUAGCUAUUCUCGUGGGUAUAGAGUGUGGCCUCGCAUCUUUUCGGGUGCUUAUUUGCCAGUUUUAUCUUCUUUGUCUCAAAAGAGAUUGCACAUGAGUUUAAUUGGUUUUUAAAAAUUUUAUAGGAUCUGGGACACAAGAUAGGCAAGUGCUGGAUCCCUAGCCUAUCUGAUUGCUUCUGAAAUUUUUAUAUAUUCUGGAUAUAAAAUUCUUUACCAGUCAUUUGCCUUGGCAAAUGUUUUUCCCAGCCCCACAGCUUAUCUUUUAAUUCGCUUAACAAUGUCCCUAGGAGAGCAGGUUUUAAUUUUGCAGACAUCAAUUUGGUCAAUUUGUUCUUACAGUGGUUUAGUUUUCCUAUUUAAGAAACAUUUGCCACCACAUGUGGUGGUGCACACCUAUAAUCUCAGCACUCGGGAGGCUGAGGCAGGAGGAUCACCAUGAGGUGUCAAGGCCAGUCUGGGCCACAUAGUGAGUUCAAGGCCAGCCUGGACUACACAUCGAGACUCUGUUUUAAAGAAAGAAAUAAAGAAUGAAAGAAAG